GAGAGAUUAUAUAAUGUACCUUAUUUGCAUAGAUACUCCAGUUAGUUAGAAGCUCAGAAAGCAUGGCUCCUAGAAGACCAAAAAGUGCACCGGAUGCGCCAACAGAUACGGUAUUUGAUUCAGUUUCUUUCAAAUGCAAGAUAGACAACAAACUUCCACCGAAACCAGAAAGCAUGUAUAAGAAUCCAAUUCUCACUGCCAAAUCCAAGAGAUUAGAAUUUAGCUAAAGAAGAUCAUGCAGAGGUUCAAUGUGCAAAAGUUCUGUAGUAUGCCUUACAAAAUCCAAAUUCCUUCUCAAGCCGAACUCCUAUGAAUAGAAGACUAAACAUAUUGGCUAGUAAAUGCACAACUCCAGCGUGAAGAAACAUGCAGGAAACGAAGCGCCAUAUUUCAUUCUGGUCCACCACUAAGUCCUUUUCAAGGGCUCCUAAUAGCCGCAGCCUGCAGAAAGUUAAUGCAAUAGCCCCAAAAGAUGAACGAACAAACCAAGGGCCAAGGAGAGGGUUUUCCCUGAAGGGUUGGAAGGAGAAUCUGCCCAGAUAUUCAGAGAAAAGGCAAACCCGUGCAUCUAAGUAGGCAGGGCAAUCAUUUUCAUACAUGCUAUACACGAACAUUGCAAUGUUGGCCAAAAAAAUGAGUGGCACCAACCAUGGGAACCACAGGCGAGGCUGUGGCACGUGAAAAGUAGGUGGCGGUGGCGGGGCGUAGCGGGCCGCCUCAACGUCGGACAUGUGCGGCGGCUUCUUCCCCAUGGUUGCGGAUUGCAAGUUGCAACAAAGACACAGACACAAACACAAACUAAGAAAUAGGUUGUUGUGUUGGCGCAAUGGAACAGAACCUAUCUUCCCUCCUUUGCGUUGGCUAGCUAGCAGUUAAAUUAGCUCUGAGGACAACCAAACUAUUGUGGAAGAGCUACUUCAACAAGCACUUUAGGGAUGGUUUGGUGUGAGUGGCUAUUCCGUGGGCAUUAUGGCAAUAGGAAAAAACCUUCUGCUUUGGAUCUGCUGACGUUAUGUAAACAUGAUCAAACACAAGGUUGGAGCAGCCCACGUUUUGGUCGCAGCUCAAAUUGAUCGCCUUGUCCGUCAAUGAUGUUCCAAAAAUUCCUUUUCAAAGUACAAUUCUUCACAUGCACGUCCUCUACAAUAUCGGUCUCUCCGCGUGUUCCCAACGAUCCAAUGCUACAAAAACGUUAUUUCCUUCAUCAGAGUUAACUGUAUACCCGAAAGUAGAAAAGGAAAAUUAAAAAAUUAAAUAAAAAUAUAUCUUUCAUCUUAUUCUUAAGUUUAUUUUUCACUAUGUACAUAACUGAAAGCGAUCUAUCAAUCAUAAAUAGAAACAAGAAGAAUCAUCUCAAACAAAUUAAGAGGCCAGUUAAAGAAAAAGUUAAAUAUUUUCCGUCCAUGCAGUGAAUACAAGAAGUCUGUGGUUUGUUGAAGCCAAUUUCAAGCCAAAGCAAAUGGAUAAUAAUUAAUCAAUACGUUAUUACUUAUCACUGAAGUACUAUAACUAACCUGAUACCAUGGCCUGGACCACAUGUUAUACCAGUUAUAUUGAUCUUGGAGGAUCCAGCACUAAUAGCAAUGCAAUCGUCACCUGCAGUUAAACCAUGUCAUUUUUGUUUAACAGACAUAAUCAUGUUAGGAAACAAGUUUGAGAAAUUGAAAAUUUUCAUAAAAAAUUUAGGAUGUGACGUUCUGACAUACAGAUGUAAA